AGGAGGAUAGAUAUGGUUUGUGUA
rnacentral:siRNA from 1 species